rnacentral:rRNA from 1 species
UACGUAGGUGGCAAGCGUUGUCCGGAUUUAUUGGGUUUAAAGGGUGCGUAGGCGGUUCCAUAAGUCAGUGGUGAAAUACAAUAGCUUAACUAUUGAGGUGCCAUUGAUACUGCGGAACUUGAGUACAGACGAGGUAGGCGGAAUUGACGGUGUAGCGGUGAAAUGCUUAGAUAUCGUCAAGAACACCGAUAGCGGAGGCAGCUUACUAGACUGUAACUGACGCUGAGGCACGAAAGUGUGGGGAUCAAACAGG